rnacentral:tRNA from 1 species
GGGGACUUAGCUCAGUGGUAGAGCGUUUGCCUAGGAAGCGCAAGGCCCUGGGUUCGGUCCCCAGCUCCG